UAAUUUCGUUUUUGAUUUUUUUUAUUGCUUAAUUAUGUGGAAUACCAAUGAUUUUGAUUUUGUUUAUCGCUUAUUUUCAUGAUUUAAGGUUUUUAAUCAUACUGGGUAUUAAAGUUAUUGUGUACAUACUUAAGAUUUUGAUUUUUACAUGGCUACCUCCGUUUAGAUUAAGAAUUGGUAAAAAUUGUUGAAGAAGAUAGCACUUUAAUGAUGGCUUCCGUUAAUUUAUUUAUUAUUUGUUUUUUUACUAAUGAGAUUAGUAAGGUAUUACCAAGAAGGGUAUGAAGAUUGGUAUAACAAUCGCAUUAUAGAUAACGGGUGUUGUAAUCUACUUUGGAGUUUAUCUCUAACCUGCUUUAGAGUUGAGUUUUAUCAAUUAUUAUAUAUCUAAUCUAUUUUGGCUUGAAAUUGUAAUGAUCAAAGUUGUUUGUUAAUUCUAUUCAAUACGUUUUGGUUUUAUAUGUAAGUAAGCUUGAUGUUAUCUCUGCUAUUUGUUGAUUCUGAAGAAACAUGAGCCAAAGGCUGCAGUGAUUAGAGUAGCAAAAGUUUUCAUUGAUUGUUUUCUUGCCUCUUUUUUUUUCUGUAUGAUUUGAUUAGUUUUAAGAGGUCGUUACGAUGAAUUUCAAUGCGUCGAGUGAAAUCGAGCAAAGAUGAGAUUAUCCGCAUCUUGGCGGGGCAACCUGGAUGGUCAUGUGAAAGAUUGAAUGAGUUUGUGCUAUCACAUGGCAACCGGUAAGUAUGCAGCCAUGGUGGAUUUAUCCUCUUUUGUUUGAUUGUUUAUACAUCUGAGCAUCAAAAUUGAUUUAUCCUGAUUUUUAGUCACUUGGUUUUAUGUAUCUGUGAAUUAAUACGGUAUAUUUGUUUUUUUUUUUUUUUGUGGUACACAUAGUUUCCCGUGUUUGAUCCAAAUUUAGAUUUUGCUUUGAAUUUACAGUUUUGCUACUAUGUUAAUUAUUUUUGAUGAUUGUUUGCUGGUCAAUUUAAGGUUUAUAUGUGUUUCAUAUUGCUGGUCAAUUUUGGAGGGUGCCCAUUUGUAUUUUCUUUUGUACGAUGAUUUAAAAGAUUCUUUUACACAUUACAAAUACAUGUUAGGUGGCUUUCAAUUAUUUUAAUUUGUUUUUAUUGAAAACUUUUGAAUCAAAGAUUCAAAGAUAGAGGUGUUGUUGAAUAACUGAGAUGUUAUAUCUUAUCAAAUGAAUGAAAAUCGUGCGAAAUGGGCUGAAGUAAACUGCCAUUUAUUUGAGCAAUCCAACAGUUGCGGCGGUGACAAGGAAUACGUUUCCGGCCACCCUUUUUCCGUUGAAGUUCUGGUCAACUUCUGCUUCUGAUUACACAUAUUUGAUGAAGACCGGCCUCUGCAGCAACUUUGUUCUACAGUGUGGCUGUUCGAAACCCUGGUUCUUGGCCAAGCAAAGUUUAGCAUCAUAUACAAGUACUUGGCUAAGCAAAGGGUGGGUAAAAAGAAACUGCAGUUGGUUGGUUCUGUUGUCAUGCUUUUGGCUUGACGAAGUUUCAGGACUUUUAUCUCUCAUUUUCACCUUUGGCGCAUAUAUUGAUCAGCUGAUGCGUAGCAAUGCUUUAUUAAUCAUAUUGCAUCUAAAGGAUUUUGGUGUGGGGUGAAUGGUCUGCGAGCUGCAAUGAUUUAUGCAUGGGUCUGCAACACAUAUCGCUCAAGGCCACAUGUUUUAUGUUUUAAAUUCACAAGCAUGUGGAUGCUAUGUCGCUUUACGAAGAGUUAAAACCAUAAAUGGUGUCAGUGGCGAUGAAGAUUUAUUUCUGUAUGUAUACCUCUACAUCUGUGUUGGCGAUGAAGAAUUCUUUCUUUCUGCAUAUAAUGUUUCAGAGCAUAAUAAGUUAGCGGACUUUGUGUGAAAGUGGGCCCGUAUCUUGGCGUGGCAACCUGGAUUGUGAUGCAGCCAUGACGGGGCCCUACCCACUUUGUUCUCUUUCCUAUGUGCAGCUCAUGAGCCCAAAAAAACAAUUUUUUUUCAAGUUUUAUUCUCAGUCACUACAUCAACCACUAUAGUUUCUACUGAAAGUCGCAUACAACCAACCUCUGUUCAGGUGUGUUGUUUGAUUUACAGUUUUUGUGUUUCUUUUUUUUUUUGUACAAAUAUGGUGGUGGAGCUUGAUAAUAUGUGCUUUGCUUUGAUCGUGUGAGUUUUAUCGUAUUUGUGAACCAUUUUACUUGCUAUGUGAUGAUUUUGAUCUGUUUGUAGAGGGUGAUUUUGGGAGGGAAUCACUCAAAAUAUACGGAGGUCCAUGAUUUAUGGUGUAAGAGAUGUGGUUGUGGUGUUUGGGUUGGCUGCAGUGGCGAUGAAGAUUUCUUUCUGUAUGUAUACCUCUGCAUCUGUGUUAAAGAUGAAGAUUUCUUUCUUUCUACAUAUAAUGCUUCCGAGCAUAAUAAGUUAGCGGACUUUGUGUGAAAGUGGGUCCAUAUCUUGGCGGGGCAACCUGGAUUCUGAUGCAGCCAUGACGGAGCCUCACCCACUUUGUUCUCUUUCAUAUGUGCAGAUCUGAGCCCCUAAAAAAAAUUGUCAAGUUUUAUUCUCAAUCACUACAUCAACCACUAUAGUUUCUAAUGAAAGUCACGUACAACCAACCUCUGUUCAGAGCUUGAUUUUGGGAGGGAAUCAUUCUAAAUAUACGGAGGUCCAUGAUUUAUGUUGUAAGAGAUGUGGUUGUGGUGUUUGGGUUGGCUGUAGUGGCGAUGAAGAUUUAUUUCUGUAUGUAUAUAUCUGCAUCUGUGUUGGCGAUGAAGAUUUCUUUGUUUCUGCGUAUAAUGUUUCCGAGCAUAAUAAGUUUGAGGACUUUGUGUGAAAGUGGACCCGUAUCUUGGCGGGGCAACCUGGAUUGUGAUGCAGCUAUGACAGGGCCCUACCCACUUUGUUCUCUUUCAUAUGAGCCAAAAAAAAAAAACAAUUUUUUGUCAAUUUUUAUUCUCAAUCACUACAUCAACCACUAUAGUUUCUACUGGAAGUCGCAUACAACCAACCUCUGUUCAGAGCGUGAUUUUGGGAGGGAAUCAUUCUAAAUAUACGGAGGUCCAUGAUUAAAUGCUCACUCGAGAUUCACCAUUAAUUUUGAGGUCAAUUUGGUUUUCUUCAAUGGUAUUUUGGGAAAUCGAUCUGUAGGUUCAUGUUGAUUGUGGUUCUUUAUACUUCAAGAUUUGGAGGGUGCCCAUUUGUAUUUUCUUUUGUACGAUGAUUUAAAAGAUUCUUUUACACAUUACAAAUACAUGUUAGGUGGCUUUCAAUUAUUUUAAUUUGUUUUUAUUGAAAACUUUUGAAUCAAAGAUUCAAAGAUAGAGGUGUUGUUGAAUAACUGAGAUGUUAUAUCUUAUCAAAUGAAUGAAAAUCGCGCGAAAUGGGCUGAAGUAAACUGCCAUUUAUUUGAGCAAUCCAACAGUUGCGGCGGUGACAAGGAAUACGUUUCCGGCCACCCUUUUUCCGUUGAAGUUCUGGUCAACUUCUGCUUCUGAUUACACAUAUUUGAUGAAGACCGGCCUCUGCAGCAACUUUGUUCUACAGUGUGGCUGUUCGAAACCCCGGUGCGUUUCUAAUCUUGAGGUGGUUUUAAAGUCUUCAUCGGGUUCUUGGCCAAGCAAAGUUUAGCAUCAUAUACAAGUACUUGGCUAAGCAAAGGGUGGGUAAAAAGAAACUGCUGUUGGUUGGUUCUGUUGUCAUGCUUUUGGCUUGACGAAGUUUCAGGACUUUUAUCUCUCAUUUUCACCUUUGGCGCAUAUAUUGAUCAGCUGAUGCGUAGCAAUGCUUUAUUAAUCAUAUUGCAUCUAAAGGAUUUUGGUGUGGGGUGAAUGGUCUGAGUUUGAGGUAAAAUUGGUUUGUGAAGAUCUGCGAGCUGCAAUGAUUUAUGCAUGGGUCUGCAACACAUAUCGCUCAAGGCCACAUGUUUUAUGUUUGAAAUUCACAAGCAUGUGGAUGCUAUGUCGCUUUACGAAGAGUUAAAACCAUAAAUGGUGUCAGUGGCGAUGAAGAUUUAUUUCUUCACUACAUCAACCACUAUAGUUUCUACUGAAAGUCGCAUACAACCAACCUCUAUUCAGAGGGUGAUUUUGGGAGGGAAUCACUCAAAAUAUACGGAGGUCCAUGAUUUAUGGUGUAAGAGAUAUGGUUGUGGUGUUUUGGUUGGCUGCAGUGGCGACGAAGAUUUCUUUCUGUAUGUAUACCUCUGCAUCUGUGUUAGCGAUGAAAAUUUCUUUCUUUCUACAUAUAGUGCUUCCGAGCAUAAUAAGUUAGCGGACUUUGUGUGAAAGUGGGUCCAUAUCUUGGCGGGGCAACCUGGAUUCUGAUGUAGCCAUGACGGAGCCCCACCCACUUUGUUCUCUUUCAUAUGUGCAGAUCUGAGCCCCCAAAAAAAAUUGUCAAGUUUUAUUCUCAAUCACUACAUCAACCACUAUAGUUUCUACUGAAAGUCACGUACAACCAACCUCUGUUCAGGUGUGUUGUUUGAUAUACAGUUUUUGUGUUCGUUUUUUUUUUUGUACAAAUAUGGUGGUGAAGAAUGAUAAUAUGCACUUCGCUUUGAUCGUGUGAGUUUUAUUGUAUUUGUGAACCAUUUUACUUGCUAUGUAAUGAUUUUAAUCUGUUUGUA